UUAAGUUUAUUAUAAUUUAGUAUUUUUUAUUGUUAAUAAAAAAGUUAACUUAAU
rnacentral:tRNA from 1 species